ACCAGGUAUGGUGGUGCAUUCCUAUAACCCCACCUACUUGGGAGGCUGAGGUGGGAGGAUCGCUUGAGUCCAGGAGUUCUGGACUAUAGUGUGCUAUGCCAAUCGGGUGUCCGCACUAGUGUGACCUACCAGGAGCCGGGGACCAUCAGUUUGCCUAAGGAGGGGUGAACUGGCCCAGGUCGGAAAAGGAGCAGGUCAAAACUCCCAUGCUGAUCAGUAGUGGGAUCAUGCCUGUGAAGAGCCACUGCAUCUUACUCCAGCCUGGGCAACAUAGCCAGACCUCGUCUCUU
ensembl:misc_RNA Metazoa_SRP Metazoan signal recognition particle RNA